rnacentral:lncRNA from 10 species
UGCUGCUGGCCGGCCAUGUUUCAGCUUCUCAAGCUCACCUAGUGGGUUACGGCUCAUCCACCAGGUUUCCAGUCUCCAAAAUGUUCUGUUUAAAGAGGAGAAUGGAUGGUUACACAUCCUGCUUGGGAUCCAAUCACUGAACCAGAGGGGAACACCGUGCAUGAUGGGCUGGUAAGGCGUGGGGGUCAGUACAGCAUGACACAGAAGGAGGCGUCGAGCUGAGAUGCUAACAAUAGCCAAGCACGAUGCCGGCCUGAUUGGAGAGGCUAAAAAAAGCAGCUCAUUCCAAAGCCUCAUCAGGGAAGAAAAGGGCCACGAAGGCAG